AACUUUCGGCAACGGAUCACUUGGUUCUGGCAUCGAUGAAGAACGCAGCGAAAUGCGAUAAGUAAUGUGAAUUGGAGAAUUCAGUGAAUCAUCGAAUCUUUGAACGCACAUUGCGCCCAUUAGCAUUCUAGUGGGCAUGCCUGUUCGAGCGUCAUUUCAACCCUUAAGCCCUGUUGCUUAGCGUUGGGAGCCUACAGCACUGUAGCUCCCCAAAGUUAGUGGCGGAGUCGGUCUCACACUCUAGACGUAGUAAAUCUAUCUCGUCUGUAGUUGGGCCGGUCCCCUGCCGUAAAACACCCCAUUUCUAAAGGUUGACCUCGGAUCAGGUAGGAAUACCCGCUGAACUUAAGCAUAUCAAUAAGCGGAGGCU
rnacentral:misc_RNA from 1 species